rnacentral:rRNA from 1 species
UUUUCCAGGCAAAUCCGGAAAAUCAAGGCUGAGGCGUGAUGACGAGGCACUGCGGUGCUGAAGCAACAAAUGCCCUGCUUCCAGGAAAAGCCUCUAAGCAUCAGGUAACAUCAAAUCGUACCCCAAACCGACACAGGUGGUCAGGUAGAGAAUACCAAGGCGCUUGAGAGAACUCGGGUGAAGGAACUAGGCAAAAUGGUGCCGUAACUUCGGGAGAAGGCACGCUGAUAUGUAGGUGAAGUCCCUCGCGGAUGGAGCUGAAAUCAGUCGAAGAUACCAGCUGGCUGCAACUGUUUAUUAAAAACACAGCACUGUGCAAACACGAAAGUGGACGUAUACGGUGUGACGCCUGCCCGGUGCCGGAAGGUUAAUUGAUGGGGUCAGCGCAAGCGAAGCUCUUGAUCGAAGCCCCGGUAAACGGCGGCCGUAACUAUAACGGUCCUAAGGUAGCGAAAUUCCUUGUCGGGUAAGUUCCGACCUGCACGAAUGGCGUAAUGAUGGCCAGGCUGUCUCCACCCGAGACUCAGUGAAAUUGAACUCGCUGUGAAGAUGCAGUGUACCCGCGGCAAGACGGAAAGACCCCGUGAACCUUUACUAUAGCUUGACACUGAACAUUGAGCCUUGAUGUGUAGGAUAGGUGGGAGGCUUUGAAGUGUGGACGCCAGUCUGCAUGGAGCCGACCUUGAAAUACCACCCUUUAAUGUUUGAUGUUCUAACGUUGACCCGUAAUCCGGGUUGCGGACAGUGUCUGGUGGGUAGUUUGACUGGGGCGGUCUCCUCCUAAAGAGUAACGGAGGAGCACGAAGGUUGGCUAAUCCUGGUCGGACAUCAGGAGGUUAGUGCAAUGGCAUAAGCCAGCUUGACUGCGAGCGUGACGGCGCGAGCAGGUGCGAAAGCAGGUCAUAGUGAUCCGGUGGUUCUGAAUGGAAGGGCCAUCGCUCAACGGAUAAAAGGUACUCCGGGGAUAACAGGCUGAUACCGCCCAAGAGUUCAUAUCGACGGCGGUGUUUGGCACCUCGAUGUCGGCUCAUCACAUCCUGGGGCUGAAGUAGGUCCCAAGGGUAUGGCUGUUCGCCAUUUAAAGUGGUACGCGAGCUGGGUUUAGAACGUCGUGAGACAGUUCGGUCCCUAUCUGCCGUGGGCGCUGGAGAACUGAGGGGGGCUGCUCCUAGUACGAGAGGACCGGAGUGGACGCAUCACUGGUGUUCGGGUUGUCAUGCCAAUGGCACUGCCCGGUAGCUAAAUGCGGAAGAGAUAAGUGCUGAAAGCAUCUAAGCACGAAACUUGCC